rnacentral:rRNA from 1 species
UUACAAAGUCUAAAUAUCCUAAAGGCACUAGAUCCUGUCUGAUCUUGGAAGUUAAGCAGAGUCAUCCCUGGUUAGUGUUUGAAUGGGAGACUAAUGAGGAACAUCAAGUGCUCUAGGAU